GUCUGGAUAGCUCAGCUGGUUGGAGCAUGCUGCUGAUAACACCAAGGUUGCAGGUUCAAUCCCUGUAUGGGACA
rnacentral:tRNA from 1 species